AUUGGAUGCCAUCUUCCGUAAAAAGCCUGAGAUCUCGACAUAUCUUUGGAGACGAAGUUUCUUUUCGACUAAAUUGUGGAGUGUAAGAAUUUUGGCUUUUUUCCAUAAACGUUUCCUAAUGAGAUUGGCUAAGGGUUCUAUCGAUAAAGCAAAAAGUAAAGGGAAAAGGGGACAUCUUUGA